AUGGGAGUUCAGACAAUGUCGUCCCUCGGCGGCGGCGGCGGGGGAGGGGCCCUGGCGCGGCAGGGGUCGGUCUACGGCCUCACGCCCAACGAGGUGGAGAGCCACCCGGGCGAGCCGCUGCGGAGCAUGAACCUGGAGGACCUCCUGCGCACGGUGCUCCCCGCCGCCGACGCAGAGACGGUGGACGAGGUGUGGCGCGACAUCGAGAGCGCCGGCCGCGGCCGCCAGCCGACGGUGGGCGAGAUGACGCUGGAGGACUUCCUCUCGCGCGCCGGCGUGCCCGUCGCCGGCGCGCAUUGGCUGCACCAGUAG
rnacentral:rRNA from 1 species